CUCAGCUUACAUACACGUUCUCCCUAGUAGUCACAGUGAGAGUUUCAGCAGGCUAGGACUUUGCAUUUCUUAACUGAGCUAAACAUUCCUCACCUAGUAUCUGACUACACACGUUUAUGCAUAGAAUAUAGGUCUAGUUCACGCUGUUAGUUUGCAACGAGUUACGCUAGGUGAGAGAAGAUUAAGUACUUGGAAGUCCUAAAGCAUG